GUUGUUGCUGGCCUUCACAGGCAUGUGCACGCCCCGAUCGAAACUUCAUACACCUGUGCACAUCUGUAGGGAGGGGGUCAAACCCUUCCCUAUGUUUUACAUACCCCUUAAAGUCUUAGAAUGUCAAUAAUAGCUCGUCGUAAAAAAGCGAGUGAAAAUAAAAAAUACAACUUUCAACAACGAAUCUCUUGGCUCUCGCAUCGAUGAAGAACGCAGCGAAAUGCGAUAAGUAAUGUGAAUUGCAGAAUUCAGUGAAUCAUCGAAUCUUUGAACGCACCUUGCGCUCCUUGGUAUUCCGAGGAGCAUGCCUGUUUGAGUGUCAUUAAAUUAUCAACCUCUCGACUUUAUUGUCGGGAUGGCUUGGACUUGGAGUGUGCUGGCGCAAGUCAGCUCCUCUUAAAUGUAUUAGCAGAAUCUCUAUCCUGCAGUUGGUGUGAUAAUUAUCUACGCCUUCUAAGCUGUGGGAUGUUGAGCGACCGCUUCUAACCGUCCCUUGUGGACAAACCUUUUUUUAAUCUUGACCUCAAAUCAGGUAGGACUACCCGCUGAACUUAAGCAUAUCAAUAAGCGGAGG
rnacentral:rRNA from 1 species